UUUAGCAGCAAGCUCUCUGCAGCUCUAACAUGAUCACCCACUGAAGCCAAGCAGGGCUGCGCCCGGUCACUACCUGGAUGUGAGACCACAUGAGAAAGCAUGGUUGCUGCUGGAG
rnacentral:rRNA from 1 species